rnacentral:tRNA from 1 species
GGUUCGGUGGUCUAGGGGUAUGAUUCUCGCUUAGGGUGCGAGAGGUCCCGGGUUCAAAUCUCGGCCGAACGC